rnacentral:rRNA from 1 species
AUGCUUGGACUACGAGCACGCUUUGGAGAGAAACUGCGCACCACCGGAUACCGUGACUUGCCAGCACUUGAUUCUGGGGGUUUUGGGCAGAACCAUCAGCAAGGACCUAGAGGAGCAAGCCUUGGUGUUGGGUCUUCAUCAGCUCAUCCUACACCUGUCGCUUCAACAGUUAGCACCACUUCUAGUAUGACAAUGAUUGCUGAUACGAUGAUGUAUCAUGCAAUGAAGGAGGAGCUUAUUAGACACCAGGAAGCAACCCAAUUCUGGUAUCAAUGCUAUCAGAUGAGCGAACAUGAUAGGAUUGUGCUUCAGGGAGCACUAAAUGCUAUGCCUGGAGGUCCUCUUAAUCCUAUAAUAGUACCAGGUGAUGUUCAAGAGGAAGAAGAGGAGGAUCCAGAGGAAGUAGAACUAGAGGAACAGGAAGAAGUUGAGGGAGUAGAGAACCCAAAUGAGCCACUAGUUCCACCCUCACCAAACGUACUACCUGCACCACCCCAGCCGCUACCUGAACAUAUAGUUGAACCAGAACCCGCCCUACAGCCAGAUAUAGAGCAGCAGCUACCCCACUUCCCUAUUCCACGACCACACCAACCUGACUUUAUCCACCCACACAUGAGUGUCAGCUCGAGGGAGUACAGGGAGGCUGCUACCUAUGCAAGGUUACUUGGGCUUAGCGCGAGUGGCAGUGGCGGAAGCAAUGGAAGUGGCAGCGGUAGCAACAAUGGCGGUGGCAGUGGCAUCGCCUAA